UACACUCCUGCGGGAGGCAGCAGUGGGGAAUAUUGCACAAUGGGCGCAAGCCUGAUGCAGCCAUGCCGCGUGUAUGAAGAAGGCCUUCGGGUUGUAAAGUACUUUCAGCGGGGAGGAAGGCGAUAAGGUUAAUAACCUUGUUGAUUGACGUUACCCGCAGAAGAAGCACCGGCUAACUCCGUGCCAGCAGCCGCGGUAAUACGGAGGGUGCAAGCGUUAAUCGGAAUUACUGGGCGUAAAGCGCACGCAGGCGGUCUGUCAAGUCGGAUGUGAAAUCCCCGGGCUCAACCUGGGAACUGCAUUCGAAACUGGCAGGCUAGAGUCUUGUAGAGGGGGGUAGAAUUCCAGGUGUAGCGGUGAAAUGCGUAGAGAUCUGGAGGAAUACCGGUGGCGAAGGCGGCCCCCUGGACAAAGACUGACGCUCAGGUGCGAAAGCGUGGGGAGCAAACAGGAUUAGAUACCCGAGUAGUCCCAUG
rnacentral:rRNA from 1 species